ACCCGCCACCUCCGGGGCCACAGGCGCCAACCCACACACCCAUUCUUAACUUUUAAGAAGCCUAGAUGAUAUUAACAUAGGAUUUAGAAUUAUUAAAACUACUUUUACCGACAGAAUCUGGGCGCUAAACCGCGAACAAUGUGAUCUGAUCGAUGCUCUGUCGUAAAACUGAAAGGAUUUGGAGCCAGAAGAUCGAAGGUCAAGUGUCACCCCUCCACUUUAUAGCUAAAUCCUUAUGCGUUCAUCUUUGUGAACCUCAAUUUAUCUGUAGAAUCAUGAAGAAUGACAAUAUCACUAAUGAGAAUAGUCACCAUUUAUUAUUAUGGCAAACAUUGUCUGAAAUACUUUAAAUAUUUUAAUCCGCACAGCAACCAAAUGGAUUAGCUUUAAAUAUUAGCAUUUUACAUGUAAAGAAACUGAGGAUCAAAGAAGUUAAGUAGUUUUUUGAUGGUCACAGAACUGGAAUUAAGUCUAGAAUCUACAGCUCAUCCCUUAACCACAAAAAAAUGCCACCUCCCUGUCUACCUCACACAGUUGUUGGCUCGUUUACGGUAUUUCUGAAAAUGCUUUAUAAUUAUAAAGCGCCGUUAGUAAUUAUUAUAUUUAGAGGAAGAAUUUUUUGAUAUGUAGCAAAUAGAAACAAGUAUUGUAUUUUGUUCUUUUCCAAUGUGAUACGUUACUCAGAACGGAUUCCGGUUUUACCAAGUAGAUAAGAUACUGACCAGCUGGGUUUGGAUUUGUUUUUCAGCAGAAGGUGUGAUAUAAUUAAAUAGAGAUGGAAUAGGAAGCACUAGCAUCUCCUGGCACUGGCACUGUGCUAGGGCUAAGAAAUUUAUUUUCUAAAGUCAUUUUCUGUUUAUAGUCCACCGGAAUGCAAGCUUUAUGGAGGCAGGAACAUAAUGUCCUCACUGCCUAUAAGACAGCAUAUAGGUAUCAGAAGUUCAGUCAUUUGAAUGAAUGAAUGCCUUUGAUACCACAGAUAAGACAAAAAAAAAGGAAAAGCACAUUUCUUUUUUCCAAUUAAGAUGUUUGAAGUAUCGGGAGGCUGAGGCAAGAGAAUCGCGUAAGCCCAAGAGUUAGAGGUUGCUGUGAGCUGUGUGACGCCACGGCACUCUACCCGAGGGUGGUACAGUGAGACUCUGUCUCUACAAAAAAAAAAAAAAAGAUGUUUGAAGUAAUAGGUUACUUAAGAAGCUUCAUAAAGUAGCAUACCUUAGAGUAUUGGGAAUCCAGAGUAAAUAAUAAUAUAAGUAAUAAUCCCAACACAAAAUAAAUAAUACCAGGAAAUAAACACAUAGAUUGUUAAACAUUACAUAUAUACAAUCAUACCAGUAAAAAAAAAAAAAAACUAAGUGAAUUUUAAUAAAACCAAAAUCUCUCCAAAAGGUAAUAAUGUAGGCAAUUACUAAUCAUUCCACAAAUGAAACAUUUUAUUUUUUGAUUCCUUCUUGAAAUAAUUGACAGUUUUAAAAGAGUAACUUUUAAUUUUAAAAAUAUUAUUUCCUCUCAGUGAAAUAUUUUAUAGGUAGAUUAAAAUCUCUGUUUCUGAAGCAAAAUAUUGCACUUCUCUGUUUGCACUCCGUUUCACUGUUUUAAAUUUUGAUCAGAUGAAAGCUCCAAGAGCCAACUAUAGAAAAAUUGAUCUCUGGGGCGGCGCCUGUGGCUCAGUCGGUAAGGCGCCGGCCCCAUAUACCGAGGGUGGUGGGUUCAAACCCGGCCCCGGCUGAACUGCAACCAAAAAAUAGCCGGGCGUUGUGGCGGGCGCCUGUAGUCCCAGCUACUCGGGAGGCUGAGGCAAGAGAAUCGCUUAAGCCCAGGAGUUGGAGGUUGCUGUGAGCUGUGUGAUGCCAUGGCACUCUACUGAGGGCCAUAAAGUGAGACUCUGUCUCUACAAAAAAAAAAAAAAGAAAAAUUGAUCUCUGCUUUUUAACUCACAGUAGCUAAGGCCUACAAUGCCAGCACUUUGGAAGGCUGAGGCAGGAGGAUCACUUCAGGCCAUGAGUUCAAGAUAAGCCUAGGCAACAUAGCAAGACCAUAAAAAAAGUUAGCUUGCCUCUAGUCCCAACUACUUGGGAAGCUGAGGUGGGAGGAUCCCUUGUGUCCAGGAGUUGGAGGUGAGAGUAAGGGUCUCCCUGUUGGCUGGACUAGAGUGCCAUGGCAUCAUUAUAGCUCCCUGCAACCUCAAACUCCAGGGGUUCAAGCAAUCUUCCUGCCUCAGCUUCUGCGUGAGACUAGCGCCACCACACCAGGCUAAUUUUUAUAAUUUUCGUUUGUUCACAUGAGGUCUUGCUAAUGCCCAAGCUGAUCUUGAACUACUGGCCUCAAGUGAUCCUCCUGCUUUGGCUUCCCAAAGUGCUGGGAUUACAGGUGUGAGCCAUAUUUUGAAAUAUUUAAAGGGAUAAUGGGUACCAAAAUGAUAGUUCACAGGAUCCUCUCCCUAUGUCAGCUAAGGACCCAUUUUCUAGUUAAUUCUUUUUUUUUUUUUUUGAGACAGUCUCAUUCAUUUGCUCUGCUGUUAAGUGCUGUGGCCUCAUAGCUCACAGCAACCUCAAACUCUUAAGCUCAAGAGAUUCUCUUGCUUCAGGUACCUGUCACAAUGCCAGGCUAUUUUUUUUUUUUUUUUUUUAGAGAUGGGCUCUUGCUCUUGCUCAGGCUGGUCUGGAGCUCCUGAUCUCAAGCAAUCCGCCCUCCUUGGCCUCCCAUAAUGCUGGGAUUACAGGUGUGAGCCACCAUCCCCAUCCUUAGUUAUACCUCUUUAACCAUAAAAAAAUGUAUCCCAAUCAAAACCAUGAUAAUUAGUUAUACUUGAGUAUGAAGCCUGUAUCUUGUUUUUAGCGAUAUUAAAAGUGGGAAUGGUAGAAGUAAAAACAAAAAUUUGAAUUAUAGUUGAUAUUUUAACGAAGUGUUUAAUAGUUAUGGCUUCAGACAAUAAGCCCUGAGGCAACAUGGUCAAGUAAGUGGUAGAAGUGAAGGGAAAGAGCUGGAUUGCAUCUUUGAACUGCACUUCUCCAGUACUUGGCUUACCAAGGCAUAACUUGGGUAAAUUGUUCAUCCCCAUCAAUUCCCUUUUCUCCAAGGAAAAAAGCUCUCUUAAUUGAUUAAGGUGGUAUCUGUUGUUACUCCCCUUUACAGUUGAAGGAGUUGAAACACUGACAGUACAAGCAAUUUUCUUAAGAUUAAUAAACAGAAUAGAGGAGAUUCAAAUUAAGAUUUUUUUGAUCCGUUUUCUGUUCUUUCCUCCACCCUAUUGAAUUAUUGUGUUUAUCUGUGAAAUUGGGCAGCAGGACUAGAUCAGUGAUUUCAGCUCUAGCUACAUAUUAGAAUCACCUAGGGAUCUUUAAAACCACAGAGACGUUUGGGCCACACCCCAAAAUAAUUAAGCCCAGGUAACUGGGGUGAAGGACCUACUCAGCUGGUAUCUUUCUAAAGGCCUGCAAAGGAUCUUCACCUGCAGCUAAGACUGAGCACCACUGAAGUAACUGCCAAGUUCCUUUCACAUUCAAAAUUCUCUGACGUCUAAAAUCUACCUGUUUUGUUAUCUCUCGUCCCCACCAUGUAUGCUUUCAUGUAUAUAUUUUUGCAUAAUACGAGGCAACGAUGCUUUAACCACUAGUAUAAUAUACCACGAUAAUUAGGCAUGUCGGAUAAGAGCAUAAAUAUUCGUGAGAUGAUUGCAAAAAGGUAUUUUGAAAAUGUGCCAUGCGGUGCAUCUUACAAGGGUAUAUGUGAAUCUUAGUAAAUGUGGAAUGUAAAGGUCUUAGCAAAAUAACUAAGAAAAUGCCAGGAAAGUUAUGUUAACUAGUGUGAUGAAAAUGUGUCAAAUGGUCUAUGAACCAAGUGUAUGGUGCCCCAUGAUCAUACUAAUGUACAUGGCUAUGAUUUAAUAAAAAAAAACUAAAAAAAAACUAUAGUUGGAUAGCAAUAGCCUGAAGCUAAAAAAAAGAAAAGAAAAGAAAAUGUGCUAUAAUUAUAGCUAAAAUAAUUAUUUAUUUAUUUAUUUUUAUUUUUAUUUUUUUUUGAGAUAGAGCCUCAAGCUGUCACCCUGGGUAGAGUGCCAUGGUGUCACAGCUCACAGUAACCUUCAACUUCUGGAGCGAUUCUCUUGCCUCAGCCUCCUGAGUAGCUGUGACUGCAGGUGUCAGAUACAACUCCCAGCUAAUUUUUUUAUUUUUGGUAAAGAGAAAGUCUCUUGCUCAGGCUGCUCUGGAACUACUAAGCUCAAGUGAUACUAAAUGGUAGCAUUAUAGGCUAAGACACCUCACCCGGCCCAAGAUUAUUAAAUUAUCAAUAGGACCACUAUUAACUAGUCAGUACCAUGAUAAGAAAAGAAAGAAUUGUUGGCAACCAUGGGAUGACCAAGCUCAUAAAUUCUACACUAAUACUUGUCUGUGGAUACUUCUCUGUUUUGGUUACACAGUGUUCAAACACCCUUCCUAUGUGGGCUUAAUCUCAAAUUAGGCAGAAGGAAAGAUGAAUGGUAGUUAGUCUGGGUGCAUGACUCACACCUGUAAUCCUAGCACCUUGGGAGUCCAGUCUGAGCAAGAGCGAGACCCCAUCUUUAAAAAAAAAAAAAAUAGCCAGGUGUUGUGGUGGGCACCUAUAGUCUUAGCCACUCAGGAGGCUGAGGCAAAAGAAUCACUUGAGCCCAAGAGUUUGAGGUUGCUGUGAACUAUGAUGCAACAGCACUCUACUGAGAGUGUGACUCUGUCUCAAAAAAAAAGAAAGUGGUAGCUAGGAUUUGGUUAAAGGAACUGGACUCAACCAGAUACCUUGAAUUUUGGGAGAGCCAAAAUCCCAGAGUUGCUGGGGCAAGAGCCCAGAGUGGCUGAGCCCAGAAGCAUGAUAGCAGAUAUCCAGUGACAAUAGUGCCAAUGGCAACAAGCAUCACAGUGAAAGCACCAGGGUGUUUCCAAAGACAACGGCAGCUGUGGCAUAGGCCACAGGCUUUGACUAAUUACAAACUUUGUUUUGUUUUGAGACAGAGUCUCAAGCUGUUGCCCUGGGUAUAGAGUGAUGUGCUGUCACAGCUCACAGCAACCUCAAACUGUUGGGCGUAAUUGAUUAUCUUGCAUCAGCCUCCCAAGUAGCUGGGACUACAGGCACCAGCCCCAGGCCACAUUUUAACCCGCCACCCUUGGUGUAUGUAGCAGUCACCCUAACCACUGUGCUAUGGCUGCUGCCCUAAUUAAGAACUUUGAAUGGCACACAAUUUAAAGAAUGGAAAAUAAAAUCUUUUACAAACAUUGUAUAAAUUGGACAUUUGAUUUUGUUAACUUUCUCAUUAGGCAGUCUUUUGAAAAUGAUGUCAGACAAUAGAAUUCUAGAAUUAUCAUUUCCAAUCUGUUAAAAUUAUGUUGUGGCAGUUAGUGAAUAUGUUGUUUUUAUAUCAGCUGUUUAAAUCCUGAACAUAGUUGGAGAAGCAUUAUUUCAUAAGCUGGAUAUAACAUUACCUAUUAAGAAGAUGCAUAGAGUAUUUUUUUGUUUUUUUUAAGAGAUACGAGUACCCACCGUGUUGUCCAGGCUGGCCUCAAAUGUCUGGGCUUCAGCAAUCCUGCAACCCCAGCCUCUCAAGUAACUGGGACUCCAGGCACACCGCAACACCUGACUCAACAGAGUAUUUUAAAGGUGAAUCAAGAUUAUUACUUCACCCUAAACUGACAAAAGAAUUUACGAUAUUGAUGUGUUGAGUUUUCUUUAAGAAAAAAGAGGCUGGGCGGCGCCUGUAGCUCAAGGAGUAGGGCACCGGUCCCAUAUGCCGCAGGUGGCGGGUUCAAACCAGCCCCGGCCAAAGACCACACACACAAAAAAAAAAAGAAAAAGAAAAAAGAGGCUAAAUCAUUCAGACUUCUGAUUUACUGAAUACUCCAAACUUUGUGAUUAAUAAAAUAAUGCAUGUAGUGUUUGCAGUAACAAUUGGGCCCUCUGCUAUUAGUUGCACAGUUGUGAUGUUAUUAUGCAUUAACAUAUUGGGUGGUGCCUGUGGCUCAGUGGGUAGGGCGCCAGCCCCAUAUACCGAGGGUGGUGGGUUCUCGCACCCAGCCCUGGCUGAACUGCAACAAAAAAAUAGCCAGGUGUUGUGGUGGGCACCUGUAGUCCCAGCUACUCCGGAGGCUGAGACAAAAGAAUCACCUAAGCCCAGGUGUUGGAGAUUGCUGUGAGCUGUGUACACCAAGGCACUCUACUGAAGGCAAUAAAGUGAGACUGUCUCUACAAAAACAAAACAAACAAAAUAUAUUGUAUACCUGUAUCUGAAUACAGAUGAUGUGGAAGAAACUAGGGACAUCAAAAAUCUUAGGACUAAAAUCCUUAUCCUAGCUUUAUACUGAUUCCAGCUUAAAAUUUCCUAAUUUAUAGGCUUUGUUUUUUGUUUCUGUUUUUGCUUGUUUUCCCCCAUAAAUAUAUGAAAAUAAUGGCAUAUAAGUAAAACGCUGACUUCUAAUUGGUGAAUAGGUCACAGUGGUACUGAACAGAUGUACGAAUGUAAGGCAUUGUGCAGUAUUAGCUCUCCAUAUUCCUUUAUGCUUCUAGCAUAGCAUGCAUUUUCAUUCUGUCUGCCUUGCUUCCUAAUGUGUUGGUUGGACGUUCAGCUUUUCAAGGGAAUCCUUGUAAUUGCCAGCUUGAUGGAGAAAGCAAGAUGGAAGAACUUUCCAUAUUGUAAGUUGGUAAGUCAGUAGAUUUAUAACUGUUUAUAAAUUAGAAACUAUACGUAAAUAACAUAAAAUAAUUUUAAGUGCCACACAGUGCUGCUUCAAAGAACAAAUGAAUGAAUUUUAAAAAUG